GGUUAAUAGAAACAGUUGGGGGCAUUAGUAUCUAAUUGUCAGAGGUGAAAUUCUUGGAUUUAUUAGAGACUAACUAUGCGAAAAGCAUUUGCCAAGGAUGUUUUCAAUUGAUCAAGAACGAAAGUUAGGGGAUCAAAGACGAUCAGAUACCGUCCUAGGCUUAACUAUAAACGAUUCCGACUAUGGAUUGGGAGAGCUCUUUAACUCUCUCAGCACAUUAUGAGAAAUCAUAAGUCUUUGGGUUCCGGGGGAAGUAUGGACACAAGUCUGAAACUUAAAGGAAUUGACGGAAGGGCACCACCAGGAGUGGAGCCUGCGGCUUAAUUUGACUCAACACGGGGAAACUUACCAGGUCCAGACAUAAUUAGGAUUGACAGAUUGAGAGCUCUUUCUUGAUUCUAUGGGUGGUGGUGCAUGGCCGUUCUUAGUUGGUGGAGUGAUUUGUCUGGUUAAUUCCGUUAACGAACGAGACCUUAACCUGCUAAAUAGUCGCUCUCUAUAUUUAGGGAGUAGUCUUCUUAGAGGGACUUUACGUUAAAGCGUAAGGAAGUUUGAGGCAAUAACAGGUCUGUGAUGCCCUUAGAUGUCCUGGGCUGCACGCGUGCUACACUGACGCAUUCAACAAGUAUCUCCUGGCUCGGAAGUGUACGGGUAAUCUUUAUAAUAUGCGUCGUGCUAGGGAUUGAUCUUUGCAAUUUUGGAUCAUGAACGAGGAAUUCCUUGUAAGCAUAUGUCAUCAGCAUGUGCUGAAUACGUCCCUGCCCUUUGUACACACCGCCCGUCGCUUCUACCGAUCGAGUGCUCAGGUGAACCUUUUGGACAAUACUUGUCUGUUGACUUGCGUUGGAAUUUAAGUAAAUCUUAACACUUAGAGGAAGAAAAAGUCGUAACAAGGUUUCCGUAGGUGAACCUGCAGAAGGAUCA
rnacentral:rRNA from 1 species